AGGCCUGGCCAGCCCCUGCCAAGGGCUGUACUCUCUUCUGGGGCACCAGGGGCCCUUCCCGGCUGCAGGGCUUCGCCGAGGCCUUUAGGCCUUUAGUAUCAGUGGAGUUAGCUGCUGUUUUUCUUCUUCGGGAGGCGUAUAGGAGUCCAAGCAAGAGUUGCACUAAGAGUCUCAGCAGUGGUGAUUUUGAACUGACUAAGUUCUUGUAUGCGACUACUGAGAGGUCCUAUGGCGAGUUGAAUUGUCUUCCAGAAGCUAUAUUUUAGGUAAUUGGACUGGAGAAUUCGAUACUACGAUGGAGCAGCUGAGAGUGGCCAUUGUCACAGUAAAUUCUACCAGAGUGGACGCAGGACUAGCCACAGGAUUAUCAUCAUAGAUUGCUGCAACCAUGAAUCAUCUGAAGGAAUG